rnacentral:rRNA from 1 species
UACAGAGGUCUCGAGCGUUAGGCGGAAUCACUGGGCUUAAAGCGUGUGUAGGUGGAUCGUUAAGUACCUUGUGAAAUCCCAUGGCUUAACCAUGGAACUGCUUGGUAUACUGGCGGUCUUGAGCCAGCUAGGGGCUACCGGAACAAAUGGUGGAGCGGUGAAAUGCGUAGAUAUCAUUUGGAACGCCAAUGGUGAAAACAGGUAGCUGGGGCUGUGCUGACACUGAGACACGAAAGCCAGGGGAGCAAACGGG